GUCCCACUUAAUUAUAGGUUUAUACUCAUCACCCCUUCUCUUUCUAUCCUUCUUUAUACCCAAAUCCAUAACUAAGAGCCUAUGUUGGGUUGAAAGAUUCUCACUCAGGAUGACCUUACAGUCCUUACACAACACCCUAUCCCCUUUCCUAAGCAACAAAAAGUCAAUCUGGGUCUUGGCUAUCGCGCUUCGAAAGGUGAUCAGGUAAUCAGGUGAUUGUCCUUCUUCGGGAAGCCCGAGUUCACCACCACCAGCCCAAAGGACCUCGCAAAAUCCAAUAGAGUAGCCCCCUCUUCAUUUCUUUCCCCAAAACCAAAACCACCAUGCACAUCACCAAAGCCUCCCGGUAACGCCCCGAUGUGUCCAUUGAAAUC
rnacentral:lncRNA from 1 species